rnacentral:rRNA from 1 species
AGAGUUUGAUCAUGGCUCAGAUUGAACGCUGGCGGCAGGCCUAACACAUGCAAGUCGAACGGUAACAGGAAGCAGCUUGCUGCUUCGCUGACGAGUGGCGGACGGGUGAGUAAUGUCUGGGAAACUGCCUGAUGGAGGGGGAUAACUACUGGAAACGGUAGCUAAUACCGCAUAACGUCGCAAGACCAAAGAGGGGGACCUUCGGGCCUCUUGCCAUCGGAUGUGCCCAGAUGGGAUUAGCUUGUUGGUGGGGUAACGGCUCACCAAGGCGACGAUCCCUAGCUGGUCUGAGAGGAUGACCAGCCACACUGGAACUGAGACACGGUCCAGACUCCUACGGGAGGCAGCAGUGGGGAAUAUUGCACAAUGGGCGCAAGCCUGAUGCAGCCAUGCCGCGUGUAUGAAGAAGGCCUUCGGGUUGUAAAGUACUUUCAGCGGGGAGGAAGGGAGUAAAGUUAAUACCUUUGCUCAUUGACGUUACCCGCAGAAGAAGCACCGGCUAACUCCGUGCCAGCAGCCGCGGUAAUACGGAGGGUGCAAGCGUUAAUCGGAAUUACUGGGCGUAAAGCGCACGCAGGCGGUUUGUUAAGUCAGAUGUGAAAUCCCCGGGCUCAACCUGGGAACUGCAUCUGAUACUGGCAAGCUUGAGUCUCGUAGAGGGGGGUAGAAUUCCAGGUGUAGCGGUGAAAUGCGUAGAGAUCUGGAGGAAUACCGGUGGCGAAGGCGGCCCCCUGGACGAAGACUGACGCUCAGGUGCGAAAGCGUGGGGAGCAAACAGGAUUAGAUACCCUGGUAGUCCACGCCGUAAACGAUGUCGACUUGGAGGUUGUGCCCUUGAGGCGUGGCUUCCGGAGCUAACGCGUUAAGUCGACCGCCUGGGGAGUACGGCCGCAAGGUUAAAACUCAAAUGAAUUGACGGGGGCCCGCACAAGCGGUGGAGCAUGUGGUUUAAUUCGAUGCAACGCGAAGAACCUUACCUGGUCUUGACAUCCACAGAACUUUCCAGAGAUGGAUUGGUGCCUUCGGGAACUGUGAGACAGGUGCUGCAUGGCUGUCGUCAGCUCGUGUUGUGAAAUGUUGGGUUAAGUCCCGCAACGAGCGCAACCCUUAUCCUUUGUUGCCAGCGGUCCGGCCGGGAACUCAAAGGAGACUGCCAGUGAUAAACUGGAGGAAGGUGGGGAUGACGUCAAGUCAUCAUGGCCCUUACGACCAGGGCUACACACGUGCUACAAUGGCGCAUACAAAGAGAAGCGACCUCGCGAGAGCAAGCGGACCUCAUAAAGUGCGUCGUAGUCCGGAUUGGAGUCUGCAACUCGACUCCAUGAAGUCGGAAUCGCUAGUAAUCGUGGAUCAGAAUGCCACGGUGAAUACGUUCCCGGGCCUUGUACACACCGCCCGUCACACCAUGGGAGUGGGUUGCAAAAGAAGUAGGUAGCUUAACCUUCGGGAGGGCGCUUACCACUUUGUGAUUCAUGACUGGGGUGAAGUCGUAACAAGGUAACCGUAGGGGAACCUGCGGUUGGAUCACCUCCUUA